rnacentral:rRNA from 1 species
UUUAGUUAAGUUAGAAAGGGCGCACGGUGGAUGCCUUGGCACUAGGAGCCGAUGAAGGACGGGACAAACACCGAUAUGCUUCGGGGAGCUGUAAGUAAGCGUUGAUCCGGAGAUUUCCGAAUGGGGGAACCCACGUGUCCGUAAUGGGGCAGUAUCCAUACGUGAAUACAUAGCGUAUGGAGGCAUACCCGGG